AGCCUACCUUGCAGUGGGUGGUGGAGACGGGCAGGCCGAUGUUGGACGCCACCACCACGGUCAGAGCCGAGGCCAACUCGAUGGUGAAACCGCUGUGGACGUGAGGGAAGAGGCGCGGGCACACGACGAACCACACCGCCACGGCCGUCAGCAGCGCGCAGCCCAGCGAGAUGAGCAGGAUGCCCCACCAGGGGAGCUUGUCGAACCCCAGCACUGGAGGACCACCGGGCGCACACAACGAGACGCACAAAAUGGAGGAGGAGGAGGGGG